CCCUUAGAUGUUCUGGGCCGCACGCGCGCUACACUGACGAAUGCAACGAGCUUAUAACCUUGGCCGAAAGGUCUGGGUAAUCUCCAAAUUUCGUCGUGAUGGGGAUAGAUUAUUGCAAUUAUUAAUCUUCAACGAGGAAUGCCUAGUAAGCGCAAGUCAUCAGCUUGCGUUGAUUACGUCCCUGCCCUUUGUACACACCGCCCGUCGCUCCUACCGAUUGAAUGGUCCGGUGAAGCGCUCGGACCGCGGCCUCUUGACGGUUCGCUGUCGAUUGGCUGUGGGAAGUUCGUUAAACCUUAUCAUUGAGAGGAAGGAGAAGUCGUAACA
rnacentral:rRNA from 1 species